GACGAACGCUGGCGGCGUGCCUAAUACAUGCCAGUAGAACGCUGAAGGAGGAGCUUGCUUCUCUGGAUGAGUUGCGAACGGGUGAGUAACGCGUAGGUAACCUGCCUGGUAGCGGGGGAUAACUAUUGGAAACGAUAGCUAAUACCGCAUAAUAUUGACUAUUGCAUGAUAGUCAGUUGAAAGGUGCAACUGCACCACUACCAGAUGGACCUGCGUUGUAUUAGCUAGUUGGUGGGGUAACGGCUCACCAAGGCGACGAUACCUAGCCGACCUGAGAGGGUGAUCGGCCACACUGGGACUGAGACACGGCCCAGACUCCUACGGGAGGCAGCAGUAGGGAAUCUUCGGCAAUGGACGGAAGUCUGACCGAGCAACGCCGCGGGAGUGAAGAAGGUUUUCGGAUCGUAAAGCUCUGUUGUAAGAGAAGAACGAGUGUGAGAGUGGAAAGCUCACACUGUGACGGUAUCUUACCAGAAAGGGACGGCUAACUACGUG
rnacentral:rRNA from 1 species